AGCUCAAUGAAUAUAAAUUAAGUGUUUCCUGCUCACUGUGAUAAUAAAGAGCUGCAUUAAACUGUACUAAGGUAGCAUAAUAAAUUGGCUUUUAAUUGGAGUCUAGAAUGAAAGGGCGAAUGAUGGGAUAGCUUUCUUUUGUUAGAUAAAUUGAAUUUAAUACAUUGGUGAAAAUGCCCAAACCAGCAAAUAAGACGAGAAGACCCUAGGAAUUUUGAGUCUAUUAUUUUUGUUGGGGCAAUAGAUAUAAUAAUAUUUUUUAUUAAUAACAAGUCUACGUCAGAGUAAGAAAAAAUUACCCUAGGGAUAACAGCGCCAUUUUUAAAAAAGUUUGCGACCUCGAUGUUGGACUAGAAUACUUCUCUCAUAGAAUGUGAGAAGAAAUUACUCUGUUCGAGUAUUAAUUUCU
rnacentral:rRNA from 1 species